GACAGAGGUUGCAAACGUUGUUCGGAAUUACUGGGCAUAAAGCGCACGUAGGCGGUUCGUUAGGUCAUGUGUGAAAUCCCUCGGCUCAACCGAGGAAUUGCGCCUGAUACUGGCGGGCUAGAGAUCGAUAGGGGUGAGUGGAACUCCAGGUGGAGCGGUGAGAUGCGUAGAUAUCUGGAGGAACACCGGUGGCGAAAGCGGCUCACUGGAUCGAUACUGACGCUGAGGUGCGAAAGCUAGGGUAGCAAACGGG
rnacentral:rRNA from 1 species